AAUCCAUGCAUCAGACAUUUUUGAAUUAAAUCUAUAAAUUAUUCCCAAGCUUCAUAUAAUGUUUCAUCCUCUACUGCCGAAAAGAUGUGAUGUUGUUUCUAAGCUU
rnacentral:snoRNA from 1 species